rnacentral:rRNA from 1 species
AAUGAACGCUGGCGGCAUGCCUAACACAUGCAAGUCGAACGAAGCCUUCGGGCUUAGUGGCGCACGGGUGCGUAACGCGUGGGAAUCUGCCCUUGGGUUCGGAAUAACAGUUAGAAAUGACUGCUAAUACCGAAUGAUGACGUAAGUCCAAAGAUUUAUCGCCCAGGGAUGAGCCCGCGUAGGAUUAGCUAGUUGGUGUGGUAAAGGCGCACCAAGGCGACGANCCUUAGCUGGUCUGAGAGGAUGAUCAGCCACACUGGGACUGAGACACGGCCCAGACUCCUACGGGAGGCAGCAGUGGGGAAUAUUGGACAAUGGGCGAAAGCCUGAUCCAGCAAUGCCGCGUGAGUGAUGAAGGCCUUAGGGUUGUAAAGCUCUUUACCCGGGAUGAUAAUGACAGUACCGGGAGAAUAAGCUCCGGCUAACUCCGUGCCAGCCGCCGCCGUAAC